UACGAAGGGAGCUAGCGUUGUUCGGAAUCACUGGGCGUAAAGCGCACGUAGGCGGAUUUGUCAGUCAGGGGUGAAAUCCCGGGGCUCAACCUCGGAACUGCCUUUGAUACAGCAAGUCUUGAGUUCGAGAGAGGUGGGUGGAAUUCCUAGUGUAGAGGUGAAAUUCGUAGAUAUUCGGAAGAACACCAGUGGCGAAGGCGGCUCACUGGACCGGUAUUGACGCUGAUGUGCGAAAGCGUGGGGAGCAAACAGG
rnacentral:rRNA from 1 species